rnacentral:rRNA from 1 species
CAGUAGCCGCGGGAAUACGGAGGGUGCAAGCGUUAAUCGGAAUUACUGGGCGUAAAGCGCACGCAGGCGGUUUGUUAAGUCAGAUGUGAAAUCCCCGAGCUUAACUUGGGAACUGCAUUUGAAACUGGCAAGCUAGAGUCUUGUAGAGGGGGGUAGAAUUCCAGGUGUAGCGGUGAAAUGCGUAGAGAUCUGGAGGAAUACCGGUGGCGAAGGCGGCCCCCUGGACAAAGACUGACGCUCAGGUGCGAAAGCGUGGGGAGCAAACAGGAUUAGAUACCCGUGUAGUCCCUGUCUCUUAUAC